rnacentral:rRNA from 1 species
GGAGUUAGCCGGUGCUUCUUCUGUGAGUGAUGUCCUUCCUGCCGGUUAUUGACCCGCAGGCCUUCUUCCUCACUGAAAGUGCUUUACAACCCGAAGGCCUUCUUCACACACGCGGCAUGGCUGGAUCAGGGUUGCCCCCAUUGUCCAAUAUUCCCCACUGCUGCCUCCCGUAGGAGUCUGGGCCGUGUCUCAGUCCCAGUGUGGCUGAUCAUCCUCUCAGACCAGCUACGGAUCGUCGCCUUGGUGAGCCGUUACCUCACCAACCAGCUAAUCCGACAUAGGCUCAUCCGAUAGCGCGAGGCCCGAAGGUCCCCCGCUUUCCCCCGUAGGGCGUAUGCGGUAUUAGCCUGGGUUUCCCCAGGUUAUCCCCCACUACCGGGCAGAUUCCUAUGCAUUACUCACCCGUCCGCCGCUCGCCACCAGGGAGCAAGCUCCCCGUGCUGCCGCUCGACUUGCAUGUGUUAGGCCUGCCGCCAGCGUUCAAUCUGAGCCAGGAUCAAACUCUGA